UCCCUCCUCUCUCUCUCUCUCUCACCCACACACACACAUCAGGAUAUGUUAUAUUAGGCAUUCAAUGUUUGCUAAUGGAGUUUUACGUCUUCUCCUAUCAAAUAUCCCCUUUCAAAAGAAACUAAUCUAUCUGGUAUCUGAUGAUUUAAAAUCAUUUUGACACUUUAGAAAGAAAGUCUUGUGAACCUAAAAUAUCAUCAGGCUCUAUAUUACUAACUAUGAAAUAUGGUUGGGUUGGGCAUGGUUGGGUUUAGGCCUACAGAUUUUCUUUUCUCUUUUUAUCAAUUGAUCUAGCCUGGUUCAGGUUGAAAGUCAGCCCAAGAAAGGCCCUGAACAUGUAAAAGUUCUAUUUGGGUCAGCUUAGCAGGGCCCAAAUUGGCUUACUUUCAUUCCUAGCCAAACAGCCAAAGGCAUUAUUUUUUAAGCAAUCGGAAAAACAAAACAUAACAAAUCCUAAAACUCCAACCAAUGAACACUUCAGUUGCCACUACCAGAAUGCUAAAUAGGCAAACAGAUGUCUAUAGUUGUUUAGGGUUUGUCAUGGUCUUGCUUUCAAAACAUGAUGCAUGACGCCAUGCAGUUAAAAGACUGUUUUUGUAUCCAAAGUAAAGUCAUCAGUAGAGAAUGCAGAUAUUUAUUUUUCAUAACAAAUUUCAUCUUAGGAAGCCGACUUUUCUUUGAAGCAAGCCACUUUAUGCUUGUUACAUGAGAAAUCACAUGACACAAGACAAUUACAAACUCUACCAUCAUUGUCCAAUCAAUCGCUAUUUCACUGGAAAGAAGUCAUUCUAUAUCAACUAAAAUCAUUCAGGACAACAACUCCUUGGAUAUGCAUGAGCAUGGUACAAGAGAAAUUCACAACCAACCACCUUAUGGCAUCCUUCCUUUUUUUCUUAAAUGAUUCUAAGGUACUAAUGUUAUUCUCUGACAGAAGUUUUGUUGCUUAUCAACCUAUCUGGUGAUUGUACCAUUUGAUAGGAUCAUAUCAAGGUGAUACAUCAUGGAUCAUGUCUGUUACUUCCCAGUUCCCAAUUUAGAAUGAACCAGGUCACGCUGUAACCCUUGCAAGUUACCAAAAUGGAAUGAAUUCUCCAGAUAUCC
rnacentral:lncRNA from 1 species